UCAUAUAACAAUUCAGUUUAUUUUAUUUAUUUUCCAGACAGACACAUCGAUUUCUGGACCACAGUAGAGGAUGGAAACCUUUCACAGACAUUUUUUUGUCAAUAUUAUUAUUUGAAAAUACAAAUAUAAAAUUAGACUUUCCACAUUUGAUAUGUGAGAGACCCCCAUCCAUUAUUAUUAUCAUUAUUAUUUUAGUAUAUUUUACAACAGGGCUUGAGCAAGCCAUAUGAUAACCUGAAAGAUGCUUUCAGAUGUCAGUCAAGUCUGUCUGUCUCUCGCCAUAAAAAGUCGGUUAACAUAAAAAAAAGGGGCAAGUGUUAGGAAUGGGCAGACAGCGGUGGAGAGAGCUCUGCGCUCAGCCUGCGGAGACACGGCAGAGCCUCACACUGCCGGCCGUGCAGUCUGAAGAGCCUCCGGACACCCCUCGUGGCCGUGCGGUCCACUCCAACCGCGACAACACGCCGGGGGAGAACUCGCAUGAUGGUGAACCAAUAAUGAUGAAUGGACUAAAUGAACUUGGGUGCGGCUGUGUGACGAGGAUUAUUCUGUAUACAGCUGAGGUCUCCAGUCUAAUAUUAUUCAGUUCAAAUGAGCGUGAAUUGCAAGUAUAUAUAUUUAUCUAUAUACAUAUAUAUUGCAAUUAUAUGUAUAUAUUUGGCGAUGAGCAUGGCGUGAGAUGGCAAUGGUUUGGACUGGAGGGGAAGUUCACCCCAAAAACACAGUAGUACUGGCGAACUUGUGCCAUUUCCGUCACCUUGAAGAGUUCAGUCCAGAUUUGUGAACAUGAACUGAUCUUUGAUACAUCGAGCCAAAAAAACUGUAAAUAGCGUUGUUAGUGAGAGUCACUUUGUGAACUGGCCGGAGACCUAACUUUGUGUUCACUGUGACGGUAUCCAGUAUCUCUCAGAGAUAAGGGCACACUGUCUGGUUUUUUGCUUUUUCAAAAAAACCAUUAGCACCACUAUGAGUAAGCCUCUUUUUGGAUAAAAAUGCUCAAGAACAUUCAAUGAGCCUUCAAAGUCUGUCUGAUUCAUUGCAAAUGGAGCAGAGCCUGAAAAGCCUGGUGUUCCAGCUUUUAGGAAACUUUUGUUCAUAUUCAGAAAACGCUUGUGAACCCAGGAUGACAGAAAUCCCAUAAGUGCGUAUGGUUUCAGGGUGGGAUCCCCCCCCACCCCCACCUCGAACUGAUGGGGUUUAUUGUUUGGCCAUUGCCUAGCACUUGCCUCAAGAUUCAAGUUUAAAUGGAUACGGUAGUACACUACAAAUGUCAACACCUUCCAGGUUGACUUUUUUUCUUUUUUGAUUAUUUUUUUUUCUUAAACCAAGUCCCCUCCCCUCUCCCCAAAUGGAUAAGCUAGUCUACUAAGAUGUGUAACAUUCAUCAGCUGUAAACUGCUGUCAGUUUGAGAUAAAACGAAAUUACAGCAACAGAGCCAUGCUACCUUAAAGUCCAAGCUACAGGAUCACAAAACAAUAGAAGAGUCAAUUUUGAUAUUGUGUGAGGGAAAACAAGCCAUUUCAAGCCUUCUUUCCAGUGAAAAAGGGUUAAUUAUAGACUAAGAGACAACAGGCACCGCAACAGCACAGCAGCAGUGCGUGUGCACUGCUCGGGUAUAUGCUGUUUGGAUAAAACGCCAUGAAAACUGGAACGCGACUGGGUUGUGUUUGAGUUAAUUAUACAAUUAAAUUUUUCAAUGAACAGGAGGAACAAUUUCUUUAUUACUUUAAGA
ensembl:lncRNA